rfam:Candidatus Curtissbacteria bacterium RIFCSPLOWO2_01_FTLL_42_50 rifcsplowo2_01_scaffold_6033, whole genome shotgun sequence.
GGAGGAGUACCCAAGAGGUCGUACGGGCACCGUCUCGAAAACGGUUGGGGCCGCAAGGCUCACGUGGGUUCGAAUCCCACCUCCUCCG